AACCUCGCAAAACAGCUCUGCGCAAAAGCCGUCGGGGAAGGCGGUUGGAGCUGUGCCUCAGGACUCGCCAGGCUCUGCCCUCUCAGGGUGGCCCUACCUCUUCUCAAGAUUUUUCCUCAACAGCCACCAAGUCCAUAACUGUAACCAGUCGUUCAUUCCGUGGUCUGUGCCGAAGUCCUUGCUGGAUACCAGAUUUGCAGCCACUGCCCUGAUGUGGGACCCUAUGGCUUGACACACGGACCGUUUGAGGGACCACCAGACUGGGUUCCUCCUUACGACCUUUCCCUCUCCUGGUUUCUGUACAUCUCUGCAACGUGAAUGUGGCCGGAUCUCCUGUAUGAUUCAGUUGUGAUAUUUGCACCACCGAUGUUGCUGGUGUGGCCGUGGAAUUUACACCUUGCCAGAGGAAAGCUCUUUUGGCUCCAUAAGAAGGAGAAUCCAACCAACGAUUUGGAGAAUUUUGUGUCUCAUCCACCUGGAAGCUGGAG